rnacentral:lncRNA from 1 species
CCUCACUGCUGCACUGGUGGUCUGAUGAAGGAUUUCAGUUUUUUAGUGGGAUCUGAAAGUUGGGUUGCAAUAAUUAUUUCUCAUUUCUGGUUUGGUGUAUGAACUAGAAAUUGCAAUAGCAGUUUUUACACAGCUCUUUUUCAAACUGGCUGCAUAAACAGAAAUAAAUUAAGGCUUUCAAGUCUCCUCUGGGAACGCAAUAAAUAUUACCCUGUUUUCCAAAAGGAGGAAACAGAACAGCAAACACAUUAACGUGGUAUCUCCAAGGUUAACCAGUUGGCAGAACUGGGAGUAACUCCUGCUCGUAUCGUCCUUAUUGGUCACUUGUUUAAGUGUUAUUUAGGGGUCGGACCAUGCAGAGCAGGUGAAAACAUCCCUGCAUGGAUCCGAGGGUCGGGGAUGGAGAUGCUCAGGACAAGAGAUGCAGCCGUUCCCUGCUCCAGCCAACACAGUUACACUGAGUUAUUCUGCUGCACAGAGGAGCUGUUGGCAUCCUCUCCUCUUUUAUUACCCUGGUGCAGAAGCAGAAUGGUGGCAGAGAUGCAGAAUUGAUACCAGUGGAACCAGGCCAGGAGGUGCUGUUGAGCCUCAACAGUCAUGGCAGAGCCCUGCUGGAAAGUUAUGCAGGAGAAACAGGAGGUGGAAUUUCAUGCUCAGGAGGACAGCUGAGGAGGUGCAGGGAUGCUCUGUCACCUUCUUGUCCUGA